rnacentral:rRNA from 1 species
GAUGAACGCUGGCGGCGUGCUUAACACAUGCAAGUCGAACAGUCGUAGCAAUACGAUAGUGGCGCACGGGUGAGGAACACGUAGCUAACCUGCCCCCCAAGUACGGGAUAACUUCCCGAAAGGGAUGCUAAUACCGUAUAAGCUCACGCCGAGUAGGUAGGUGUGAGAAAAGGUUUACUGCUUGGGGAGGGGGCUGCGGCCCAUCAGGUAGUUGGUGAGGUAACGGCUCACCAAGCCGACGACGGGUAGGGGUCUGAGAGGAUGGCCCCCCACACUGGGACUGAGACACGGCCCAGACUCCUACGGGAGGCAGCAGUGAGGGAUAUUGCGCAAUGGGGGAAACCCUGACGCAGCGACGCCGCGUGGGUGAUGAAGGCCUUCGGGUCGUAAAACCCGUUUGUCCACCUGACGAGGAAGGACGGUAGGUGGCGAAUAAGCCUCGGGCUAAACGUACGUGCCAGCAGCCGCGGUAAU